ACGGAAGGCAGCAGCUAAGAAUAUUCCGCAAUGGACGAAAGUCUGACGGAGCGACGCCGCGUGGAUGAUGAAGGCCGGAAGGUUGUAAAAUCCUUUUAUAACUGAGGAAUAAGCAUUAUCAGGGAAAGGUGGUGCGGUGACUGUAGGUUAUGAAUAAGCAACGGCUAAUUACGUGCCAGCAGCCGCGGUAACACGUAAGUUGCGAGCGUUGUUCGGAAUUAUUGGGCGUAAAGGGCAUGUAGGCGGUUUUGCAAGCUUGGUGUGAAAGGCAGGAGCUUAACUCCUGGACUGCGUUGAGAACUGCAAGACUUGAGUCACUGAGGGGCAAUCAGAAUUCCUGGUGUAGGGGUGAAAUCUGUAGAUAUCAGGAAGAAUACCAAUGGCGAAGGCAGGUUACCAGCAGAUGACUGACGCUGAGGUGCGAAGGUGCGGGGAGCAAACAGGAUUAGAUACCCUGGUA
rnacentral:rRNA from 1 species